UACGGAGGGUGCAAGCGUUAUCCGGAUUUACUGGGUUUAAAGGGAGCGUAGGUGGGUCUGUAAGUCAGUGGUGAAAUCUUCGAGCUUAACUCGGAAACUGCCAUUGAUACUAUAGAUCUUGAAUUAUCUGGAGGUAAGCGGAAUAUGUCAUGUAGCGGUGAAAUGCUUAGAUAUGACAUAGAACACCAAUUGCGAAGGCAGCUUACUACGCAUAUAUUGACGCUGAGGCACGAAAGCGUGGGGAUCAAACAGG
rnacentral:rRNA from 1 species